GACGAACGCUGGCGGCGUGCUUAACACAUGCAAGUCGAACGGAAAGGCCCUGCUUUUGUGGGGUGCUCGAGUGGCGAACGGGUGAGUAACACGUGAGUAACCUGCCCUUGACUUUGGGAUAACUUCAGGAAACUGGGGCUAAUACCGGAUAGGAGCUCCUGCUGCAUGGUGGGGGUUGGAAAGUUUCGGCGGUUGGGGAUGGACUCGCGGCUUAUCAGCUUGUUGGUGGGGUAGUGGCUUACCAAGGCUUUGACGGGUAGCCGGCCUGAGAGGGUGACCGGCCACAUUGGGACUGAGAUACGGCCCAGACUCCUACGGGAGGCAGCAGUGGGGAAUAUUGCACAAUGGGCGGAAGCCUGAUGCAGCAACGCCGCGCGCGGGAUGAAGGCCUUCGGGUUGUAAACCGCUUUCGCCUGUGACGAAGCGUGAGUGACGGUAAUGGGUAAAGAAGCACCGGCUAACUACGUG
rnacentral:rRNA from 1 species